CAGGAACAUCGCAGAAAUGAUGUGACUUCGAGCCAUGAUAAGAAAUUGGACUCGAAUAAUGUAAUACCCUUUUAUAUGCAGAAAUGAUGUAUUUCUUUGCGCAAAAUCCACGUCUCGACGAAUCUUCAAACAUUGAUAUGUCUCGUUUUGGCAAUUAUUGGUUUUGAAUAUGUCGCACGAUUACGAUUGCAGUACCAAUGCGAUAAUAUAAGCAAGAUUGUCUUAAUCGGUCUCACGUACGAUGAUCUCAUAUUUCGGCGUGUCCUUGAAAUACGUAUGAACGAAAUGCAAUCGAAUUGAAUUUAAGUGUUAAGUAAUUUUUACAGAGCUACGCAUUAAUAUGUGAGGAUCUGUAUGCGACGUUGCAUUACGGAAAUAUCGAAAUUCGUUUAGUCUCAAACUGCAUUUGUAUCAUUGUCAUCGAAUACCUCAGUAUUGUUAUCGUGAUAACAAGGCCAUAAAUGAAGGCAAUAAUGUGGAAAAUGUCGAAAUGCAACAAAUGACAAUCAAUAGUCGAACAAAAAUAAUUUGAUGACAUGAAUAACUUCUACUGUGGCUGUAAAGUCACAUUAAUUUGGAAUCAACGAUUUAAUCGAUUUGUUUAUUCAUUUUUAGUAUCUUCGAGAGUAUUGUUUGUAUAAUACUAUACUUAUUCGCGUUUAGCAAUUAAUUAU